GUGCUGUCAGCGGCAUGCCUGCCUUCUGCAAGCCCCUCUUCCCUGUUCCCCAGCCCGCACUUCCAAUGAGCUGUGGGCCAGGAAACCAGCCCGUCACACUUGUCCACGCUGCGUUUAAAGCGGGAGGAAGGAGGACCCAAUGCAGGGCCCGAAAGGUCCACUGACCUCCAGGACGUAGAGGUUGAUGAUCCGGGCAGGUGGCCUUCAGCGAGGGAGCACGUCAAAAGGCUGUGGGCCGUGCAGACAGCUGGGGGACACCGUCCCGGGUGUGACCUUGGGCCACACGGCAGGGUGGUGGACUUGCUCCUAGAAUUGGGCUCCAGGGCUGAAGCCAGCCCCUCUGAUCUGGCACUGGCCGGCUCCAUUCACCCUUUUUGGGGCUUACUGCCGCAGAGACUUCCUUUGAGGAGAGCUGGACCCAAGACGCCAGAGUUCCGGGGGCACUGAGUGCUGUGUGGCACCCGGGCCAGGAGAAACAUGUGCCAGAGGGCAGGCGUGGGCUCUCCGGGGAGUCUCUGCGUAGACUUUCUAGCCCAGAGGUUCAGGUGAUGGACCAGAGACUGGCCGCUUUGUGACACCGAGGACGGUUGAUAAAGUGGAUUCUCGAGGGGAAGCUGCAUCCACACAGAGGCUGGGACGUGAAUGUGCAUCACGGCUCUAUCUGUGGCCCCCAAAGGCUGGGUGCCAGCUGCCUGUCGGCAGGGAGCGUAUCACCGUGGCACGUCCAUGCCGUGGGGGUCACUCAGCAGCCACGGAUGCGCCCUGGGUGCUGU
rnacentral:lncRNA from 10 species